GCCAGGCAUUGUGAUGGGCGCCUGUAGUCCCAGCUACUCGGGAGGCUGAGGCAAGAGAAUCGCCUAAGCCCAAGAGCUGGAGGUUGCUGUGACACCAUGGUGCUCUAUUGAGGGCCACAAAGUAAGACUAUGUUUCUUUUUUUUUCUUAAAAAAAAUUUUUUUUUAAAGACAGAAUCUCACUUUGUCACCCUGGAUAGAAUGCCAUGGCGUCACAGCUUACAGCAACCUCCAGCUCUUGGGCAUAGGUGAUUCUCUUGC
rnacentral:sRNA from 1 species